AGAAAGAGAGAAAAGACAAAGUUUAGAGGGUACACCACCAGUUAGGGGAUGUCUUCUUAAUUAAAACUGAGCAAAGGAGACUGAGAAGUAGUGAAUGAGGUACAAGGAAAACAAUUAUCAUUAAAACCCAGAGAAAAGAGAGUAACUAGAAAGAAAUGGUGAUCAACUAAGCCAAAGGCUGUUAAGAGGUCAAGAAAGAUGAGAAUUGAGAAAAGGGCAUCAGAUGUGGCAGUUAAAAGAUCAUUUAUGGCUUUGGAAGUUGUAGUUUCAGUGAUGUAGUUGUAAAUGAGAUUGUAGUAGAUUUAGAAGAAAAUGGGGAGAGAAAAGAAGACAACUAAUAUUGGCAUUUUUUUUUCAAUGCAUUUAACUGAAAAAAAGGAGAAAAACUAUAGGAUAGAUGCUUUGGGGGAUACUAUGAUCUAGUGAGAUUUCGUUUUCUUUGUUUUAAGGAUGGAAAAUGAAUGUUUUAGAGACUUUUGUAUUAGUGAAUUCUCCCUAGAUAUUCCCAUUAAGAUCAUCAUAUUUUGAUAGCCAUUUUAUCAUAUAAUAAAGCUUAUUCCUCACUGCAGCCUAGUAAAGUGGUAGUUCAAGUAUCAUUCUUACUUUAUAAUGAAGGUAACUGAGGACCCAGAAUCAGGACUCUCAGCUGGCAGAUAUUUCUCUCCUAGAUGCUUGUUAGCUAUUUAGUUUUCUACUUAAAGGCCACCAAGGGUGUAGUUGAUCCUCCAAUGUGUGAAUGAUUAACUGCUGGAAUAAAAGUUGUGUGGCCCAGUGGAACACCAGAAAUAUUAGGACAGAUGCUAUAUUGCUGAAACCCUCUAUUCUAGACUGAGUCUGACUCAGGCCAAUGUGUUGAUAGUUUAGAGCAGGUAUUAAAACACAAAGAGAUAGAUAUCCACAAAGAUGUCAUUCAACAGUUAACAGAAGGAAAUUUAUUUAGCCAUAUCAAGGACAUACACUGAAGAUACCCCAAGCUGAUUCAGGCUGCCUCUCAAAACUAAGAAUGAGGUCAAGACAACAAGCACUUAGAAAGUACUUUCUACACCAAACUCUGUGAAGAAGCAAAGUUCAAAGUUGGGAAGAUGACCUGGAAGAUUAGGGAGACUCAAGGAAGCUUUGAGCCUGGAUUCUCAAGGAAGAGUACAAUCUUUGGCAAGAUACAGCUAAGCUGAAAAAACUUGGAAGAUGGUACCUAAGAGAUCUUGAGAAAAGAAUAUUAUCCACUGUUGUUUCAAGAUUUAGAAGCUCAUUGAUGUGGGAAAAGGAAGGAGACUCUCAUCUUGUAAACCAACUCCAAAUUUUUUAAGCAGUUCCACUAGAGGUUAAUGCCACAUUAAG